GUUUGCGUGUGUAACAUAGCGCUCAACACCAGGGACAGGUUUGUGUGUGUGUGUGUGGAUGGUGUUCAGCACCAAGGACAGGUUUGUUUGUAA
rnacentral:pre_miRNA from 1 species